GACGAACGCUGGCGGCGUGCUUAACACAUGCAAGUCGAACGGUGAAGCGCCUUCCUUUUUGGUGGGUGUGGAUGAGUGGCGAACGGGUGAGUAACACGUGAGUAACCUGCCCCCUUCUUCUGGAUAACCGCAUGAAAGUGUGGCUAAUACGGGAUAUUCUGGGUCUGUCGCAUGAUGGGUCUGGGAAAGAUAUUGUUUCGGUGGGGGAUGGGCUCGCGGCCUAUCAGCUUAUUGGUGGGGUGAUGGCCUACCAAGGCGGUGACGGGUAGCCGGCCUGAGAGGGUGGACGGUCACACUGGGACUGAGACACGGCCCAGACUCCUACGGGAGGCAGCAGUGGGGAAUAUUGCACAAUGGGCGCAAGCCUGAUGCAGCGACGCCGCGUGAGGGAUGGAGGCCUUCGGGUUGUGAACCUCUUUCGCCAGUGAAGCAGGCCUGCCUCGUUUGUGGGUGGGUUGACGGUAGCUGGAGAAGAAGCGCCGGCUAACUACGUG
rnacentral:rRNA from 1 species